rnacentral:tmRNA from 1 species
CCACCGUUAUCGGACUAAAUGAGUAGUUGCAAAUGACAACUUCGUGGAAGCACGUCUCGCUGCUUGAUGUGGUGUGAAUGCUUCAAAUUAAGCCUUAAGCUGUCACAAGUUUAAGCGGGGUUCGGAGGCACC